CAUAUAUUGAAACACCAGUUCCCAUGUGCUCACUGGAGUUAAGCAACAUUGAACCUGGUAAGUACCUAGAUAGGUGACUGCUUGAGAAUGCCAGGUGCCAU